ACGGGUGAGUAAUAUAUAGGUAACAUGCCCUUAAGUGGGGGAUAACAGUUGGAAACGAUUGCUAAUACCCUAUAUGCCUUUUGUACGUAAGUAUGUAAAGGGAAAGAUUUAUUGCUUAAGGAUUGGCCUGUACGGUAUCAGUUAGUUGGUGAGGUAAUGGCUCACCAAGACGAUGACACCUAACUGGUUUGAGAGGAUGAUCAGUCACACUGGAACUGAGACACGGUCCAGACUCCUACGGGAGGCAGCAGUGGGGAAUAUUGCACAAUGGACGAAAGUCUGAUGCAGCAACGCCGCGUGGAGGAUGACACAUUUCGGUGCGUAAACUCCUUUUAUAGGUCAAGAUAAUGACGGUAGCCUAUGAAUAAGCGCCGGCUAACUCCGUGCCAGCAGCCGCGGUAAUACGGAGGGCGCAAGCGUUACUCGGAAUCACUGGGCGUAAAGAGCGUGUAGGCGGACUAAUAAGUCAGAAGUGAAAUCCAAUAGCUUAACUAUUGAACUGCUUUUGAAACUGUUGGUCUAGAGUGUGGGAGAGGUAGAUGGAAUUUCUGGUGUAGGGGUAAAAUCCGUAGAUAUCAGAAGGAAUACCGAUUGCGAAGGCGAUCUACUGGAACAUAACUGACGCUGAGACGCGAAAGCGUGGGGAGCAAACAGGAUUAGAAACCCUGGUAGUCCACGCCCUAAACGAUGUACACUAGUUGUUGCCUUGCUAGACAAGGCAGUAAUGCACCUAACGGAUUAAGUGUACCGCCUGGGGAGUACGGUCGCAAGAUUAAAACUCAAAGGAAUAGACGGGGACCCGCACAAGCGGUGGAGCAUGUGGUUUAAUUCGACGAUACGCGAAGAACCUUACCUGGCCUUGAC
rnacentral:rRNA from 1 species